rnacentral:rRNA from 1 species
AGAACGAACGCUGGCGGCAUGCCUAAUACAUGCAAGUCGAACGAACACUUCGGUGUUAGUGGCGCACGGGUGCGUAACGCGUGGGAAUCUGCCCUUGGGUUCGGGAUAACAGUUGGAAACGACUGCUAAUACCGGAUGAUAUCGAAAGAUCAAAGAUUUAUCGCCCAGGGAUGAGCCCGCGUAGGAUUAGCUAGUUGGUGAGGUAAAGGCUCACCAAGGCGACGAUCCUUAGCUGGUCUGAGAGGAUGAUCAGCCACACUGGGACUGAGACACGGCCCAGACUCCGUACGGGAGGCAGCAGGUAGGGAAUA